GACGAACGCUGGCGGCGUGCUUAACACAUGCAAGUCGAACGGAAAGGCCCUGCUUUUGUGGGGUGCUCGAGUGGCGAACGGGUGAGUAACACGUGAGUAACCUGCCCUUGACUUUGGGAUAACUUCAUGAAACUGGGGCUAAUACCGGAUAGGAUCUCCUGCUGCAUGGUGGGGGUUGGAAAGUUUCGGCGGUUGGGGAUGGACUCGCGGCUUAUCAGCUUGUUGGUGGGGUAGUGGCUUACCAAGGCUUUGACGGGUAGCCGGCCUGAGAGGGUGACCGGCCACAUUGGGACUGAGAUACGGCCCAGACUCCUACGGGAGGCAGCAGUGGGGAAUAUUGCACAAUGGGAGGAAGCCUGAUGCAGCAACGCCGCGUGCGGGAUGACGGCCUGCGGGUUGUAAACCGCUUUCGCCUGUGACGAAGCGUGAGUGACGGUAAUGGGUAAAGAAGCACCGGCUAACUACGUG
rnacentral:rRNA from 1 species